rnacentral:rRNA from 1 species
AUUGAACGCUGGCGGCAGGCCUAACACAUGCAAGUCGAGCGGAGCGGCGGACGGGUGAGUAAUGCCUAGGAAUCUGCCUGGUAGUGGGGGAUAACGUCCGGAAACGGGCGCUAAUACCGCAUACUAUCAGAUGAGCCUAGGUCGGAUUAGCUAGUUGGUGGGGUAAAGGCCUCCCAAGGCGACGAUCCGUAACUGGUCUGAGAGGAUGAUCAGUCACACUGGAAUUGAGACACGGCCAAGACCCCGACGGGAGGCAGCAGGGGGGAAUAUUGCACAAUGGGCGAAAGCCUGAUCCAGCCAUGCCGCGUGUAUGAAGAAGGCCUUCGGUUUUUAAAGCACUUUAAGUUGGGAGGCGUUACCAGCAGAAGAAGCACCGGCUAACUACGUGCCAGCCGCCGCGGUAAUAC